GACGAACGCUGGCGGCGUGCUUAACACAUGCAAGUCGAACGGAAAGGCCCUGCUUUUGUGGGGUGCUCGAGUGGCGAACGGGUGAGUAACACGUGAGUAACCUGCCCUUGACUUUGGGAUAAGUUCAGGAAAGUGGGGCUAAUACCGGAUAGGAGCUCCCGCUGCAUGGUGGGGGUGGGAUAGUUUCGGCGGUUGGGGAUGGACUAGCGGCUUAUCAGCUUGUUGGUGGGGUAGUGGCUGACCAAGGCUUUGACGGGUAGCCGGCCGGGGAGGGUGACCGGCCACAUUGGGCCUGGGAUACGGCCCAGACUCCUACGGGAGGCAGAAGUGGGGAGUAUUGCACAGUGGGCGGACGCCUGAUGCGGCAACGCCGCGUGCGGGAUGACGGCCUUCGGGUUGUGAACCGCUGUCGCCUGUGACGAAGCGUGAGUGACGGUACUGGGUGAAUAAGCACCGGCUAACUACGUG
rnacentral:rRNA from 1 species